rnacentral:rRNA from 1 species
UACGUAGGGUCCGAGCGUUGUCCGGAAUUAUUGGGCGUAAAGGGCUCGUAGGCGGUUUGUCGCGUCGGGAGUGAAAACACGGGGCUUAACCCCGUGCCUGCUUCCGAUACGGGCAGACUAGAGGUAUGCAGGGGAGAACGGAAUUCCUGGUGUAGCGGUGAAAUGCGCAGAUAUCAGGAGGAACACCGGUGGCGAAGGCGGCAUCCUGGACCAAUUCUGACACUGAGGAGCGAAAGCCAGGGGAGCAAACGGG